AGUGCAGAAAAGGUUUCCUAGGAGAGAUCCUUUUGUGUGGCAAUGUAAAUUGAGCUGAGAGUGCUAUGCGUCAUUUCUGGGUGACAUCUGCGGGUGAAGUCAGAAAAAGCCAGAGGCUACCUGCCGUGGAGGGAAAUGUUCUUCCACCACCAGAGGAAUUGAGGCAGCUUCCAAAGAUGGAACACACGCAGCUCCCUAAAACAGAGGUAAGGUCGUCCGCCAGAGUGUUUCCACUACACUCUGCCUCCUGAUCAACAAGCCUGAGACUGCCAUGUUCCAAAGGCAAAUGCUCCCGGGGCAUAUGCUGCCGGAUCGUGUUUGCAGGAAACUGUAGCCUGAACACACAGAGUUGCCAUGGAAGGAUCUGGACGACGAAGCAGGUUCUUUGCCACCUUGCCGCCUCCCAAUAGACUCUGCUGACGUCUGUUUGGGUCUUGAAAUUGUUUCUGCACCUCCACUCCAGUUCCAUGCUUUGUGUGCCUGCUGGGAUGUCUGGUUGUGAGCUCUGAAGCUCACUGUUCCUACUUGCAUCAACUUCCAUCUGUUACCUGCGUGUGGAUCCUGCUUCAUCUGGGAAAUAGUAUUGUUUGUACCCGCAGAUGAAUUUCUGGCAAGUGGAGACAGAAAUGCUAACGAUUCCUCAUUGUAGCUUCAGGGCCUGCCCUGUGAUGAGGGCUUGA